UAUAAACAAAAAUGAUUUCAUAUUUGAUUUGUCAAGCACUUUUAAUAUGGCUUAAUUUACAUAUAAGAAGUUUUCCAAUACAUAAACUUCUAAAGGCCAAAUUCAAGCAACUUGUACAAAGCCCUGGUCAGGAUCAAGGACCCUUAAUUUUACCACAAAAUUUAAAGUACAUUUAUAAAACUCCAUAUUCCCCACAAUGUAACUCAUUUAAUAAUUUUGUACUCAAACUCCACUUAAUGCAAAGACAAGGAACAAACAAUGCAUCCACUUCAAAGUUUUAUUUCAGCAAAAAAACAAAAAAAAAACCCCACAGGUUUUGAUCACUACAUAGACAUUCAAAUAGAAUCACUGGACAAUCUUUAAUUCUGCAUUGGUUUCAAAACUUGACAUCAUCUCUGCCACCCCAGAUCCAUUAUCUGCUGUGGAUAGAAGGGUGGAAUAAGUAAAAUACUCAAAUGGUCAUAUUUUAAUGAAAGUUCGAGAAAUUUAUUAUUAAUAUGUUAAGGCUCACCAGUAGACAGUUUGAGAAUCAUGACACCCCAGUCCAACAUCAAAUCAGAUCUGUAAAUACUUUGAUAUGGUGCUCAGGUGGUCAUUUUAAUCCUACAAAAAAAAAAAAAAAAAAAAAAAAAAAAAAAAAAAGUUAGAUUUCACAUCCCAAAGAGUCAAUUUAGGGCAUUUUAUAAUAAUUCAGCAGGAUGUUGGUGUUCAGAAAACCGAUGAUCACCACUGAACAUUCUGACGGUAAUUCCAGCUCAUUGUCAGUUUAGGUUUUCAUCAUGACACCAACUAUAUGAUUCCAACACAUAGCAAGAUCACUUGCCUUGCUGAUACCAGGGGUUCUGCGAUGGAUUGAAGCACCAGGAUGUUUGACCUACAGGACACAAAGCUAGUAAGAACAAACACUGUACGGAUACAAGUGAUAAAUUAUUCUUUCAUGUCUCUCGGAUUAAUAGCGAAUAAAAUCGUCAGUUAUCGCAUAAGACGGCACUUCCUACUCAAGGUUUUCAUCACAGAGACACUCAAGUUGCUGAAGAGAUUAAAUCACUAAAACCCACAUUGCGCUCCGUGAUGUUUAGAGUGAAGAGCCGUGGUCAUAAAGGACUUCUUAUUAGCUAGCCAUCAUGGCGGCGUAGGAUGGCUAGCGCCAUUAGCACUAGAUCAUGUUCAUUCCUAACAAAAAUAAACAGAACCAAGUUAACACAAAAAACAGCAAUACACCUCAGCUAUGAUAAUUCAAUCGUCGCCAUUUUGUUUAUCACAUGUGUAAAGAAAAUGUUAUCAACUGACCGUAGCUUUGCAGCGUCUGGAACCACGUGGUGGAUCCACAAUCAUCCAUAAAAGACAAACUAAUCCAGCUUGGACUUCCCGUCAACCAACCAUUAGAACCGUUAAAAAUUCGAAACAUGUUCAAGUACAG
ensembl:lncRNA